rnacentral:rRNA from 1 species
AGUAUCCUACGGGGGGCAGCAGUAGGGAAUUUUAGUCAAUGGGCGCAAGCCUGAACGAGCAAUGCCGCGUGAACGAGGAAGGUCUUCGGAUCGUAAAGUUCUGUUGAAGGGGAAAAAGAGCGGAGAGAGGAAAUGAACUCCGAUUGAUAUUACCCUUCGAGGAAGUCACGGCUAACUACGUGCCAGCAGCCGCGGUAAUACGUAGGUGGCGAGCGUUAUCCGGAAUGAUUGGGCGUAAAGGGUGCGUAGGCGGCCUGCUAAGUCUGGAGUGAAAGGUACCGGCUCAACCGAUACAGGCUCGGGAA